GAUGAAGAACGUAGCGAAAUGCGAUAAGUAGUGUGAAUUGCAGAAUUCAGUGAAUCAUCGAAUCUUUGAACGCACAUUGCGCUUCCUGGUAUUCCGGGAAGCAUGCCCGUUUCAGAAUCAAUAAAAAUCUCAUCAAGCUCAUUGCUUACCAGCGCUGAGUGCAGAUGGAUCUGGAUCUUUGCAUUAGCAAUCAUCUUAAAUUCAUUGUGUGUGCACCAAUUGAUGUUUCUUUUGGCUGUCCGAGUGCAACAGAUUUAUCUAUUUCGCUUUGACAGUUGACGGAUCCUCUUGAUGCGCGUGCUCAACCAAUAACACGGCAUCCAAAUCGGCAUGAUUUGGGUUUCCGAUAACUUGAUCUGAAAUCGGGCAAGAAAACCCGCUGAACUUAAGCAUAUCAAUAAGCGGAGGA
rnacentral:misc_RNA from 1 species